rnacentral:rRNA from 1 species
CACGUAGGGGGCAAGCGUUGUCCGGAUUUAUUGGGCGUAAAGAGCUCGUAGGCGGUUCGGUAAGUCGGGUGUGAAACCUCCAGGCUCAACCUGGAGACGCCACCUGAUACUGCUGUGACUCGAGUCCGGUAGGGGAGCGUGGAAUUCCUGGUGUAGCGGUGAAAUGCGUAGAUAUCGAGAGGAACACCGGUGGCGAAGGCGGCCAACUGGACGAAUACUGACGCUGAGACUCGAAAGCGUGGGGAGCGAACAGG